rnacentral:rRNA from 1 species
GGGAACGUUGCUUAGAGUGCACUCGACGGUCUCUUCGGAGAGCUUGCUCUAUAGGUGACUAAUGCUGGGCAAUCGCCGUUCUCUACCCUUUAACUGAGGAAAACUUGUGCUAAUACCGUAUACGCCCUUUUGAGGAAAGAUUUAUCGCAGAAUGAUGAGCCCAUGUUGGAUUACCUUCUUGGGAGGGUAAAGGCCUACCAAAGCGACGAUCUGUAGCUGGUCUGAGAGGAUGAUCAGCCACACUGGGACUGAGACGCGGACCACACUCCUACGGGAGGCAACGAUGGGGAAUAUUGACUAAUGGGCGCAAGCCUGAUCCAGCCAUGCCGCGUGAGUGAUGAAAGCCCUACGGUUGUAAAGCUCUUUCACCGGUGAAGAUAAUGACUGUAACCUUAGAACAAGCCCCAGCUAACUUCCUGCCAGCAACCUCGGUGAUACGAACGGGGCUAGCGUUGUUCGCAUUUACUGGGCGUACGCCGCACGUCGGCGGACUUUUAAGUCAGCGGUGAAUACUCGGAGCUCAUGCCCGGAACUGCCUUUGAUACUGCAAGUCUUGAGUAUGGUAGAUGUACUUGGAAUUGCCAGUGUAUAGUUGAAGUUCUGAGAUAUUCGCAGGAACACCAAUGGCGUAGGCUGCCUACUGGUCCAUUACUGACUCUGAGGAGCGAAAGCGUGGCCAGCAGACAAGAUCAUAUCCCCUGAUACUCAUGACCGUAAACGAUGAAUGCUAGCCGGAGUAGUGUUUACACUUCGCCGGCGCAGUCUAACGCAUUAUACUAUCUCGCCUGGGUUAGUGCGGUCGCUAGAUUAAAACUCCGAAGAAUUUGACGGGCAUGCCGCACUACCGGUGGAGCAUGUGGCUAAUUCGAAAUCAACACGCAGCAGCCU